UGAUGCAGCGACGCCGCGUGAGGGAUGACGGCCUUCGGGUUGUAAACCUCUUUCAGCAGGGAAGAAGCGAAAGUGACGGUACCUGCAGAAGAAGCGCCGGCUAACUACGUGCCAGCAGCCGCGGUAAUACGUAGGGCGCAAGCGUUGUCCGGAAUUAUUGGGCGUAAAGAGCUCGUAGGCGGCUUGUCACGUCGGGUGUGAAAGCCCGGGGCUUAACCCCGGGUCUGCAUUCGAUACGGGCUAGCUAGAGUGUGGUAGGGGAGAUCGGAAUUCCUGGUGUAGCGGUGAAAUGCGCAKAUAUCARGAGGAACACCGGUGGCGAAGGCGGAUCUCUGGGCCAUUACUGACGCUGAGGAGCGAARGCGUGGGGAGCGAACAGGAUUASAURCCCUGGUAGUCCACGCCGUAWACGGKGGGAACUAGGUGUUGGCGACWUUCCACGUCGUCGGUGCCGCAKCUAACGCAUUAAGUUCCCCGCCUGGGGAGUACGGCCGCAAGGCUAAAACUCWRAGGAAUUGACGGGGGCCCGCACAAGCAGCGGAGCAUGUGGCUUAMUUCGACGCAACGCGWASAACCUUACCAAGGCUUGACAUACACCGGAAAGCAUCAGAGAUGGUGCCCCCCUUGUGGUCGGUGUACAGGUGGUGCAUGGCUGUCGUCAGCUCGUGUCGUGAGAUGUUGGGUUAAGUCCCGCAACGAGCGCAACCCUUGUUCUGUGUUGCCAGCAUGCCCUUCGGGGUGAUGGGGACUCACAGGAGACCGCCGGGGUCAACUCGGAGGAAGGUGGGGACGACGUCGAGUCAUCAUGCCCCUUAUGUCUUGGGCUGCACACGUGCUACAAUGGCCGGUACAAAGAGCUGCGAUACCGUGAGGUGGAGCGAAUCUCAAAAAGCCGGUCUCAGUUCGGAUUGGGGUCUGCAACUCGACCCCAUGAAGUCGGAGUUGCUAGUAAUCGCA
rnacentral:rRNA from 1 species